rnacentral:rRNA from 1 species
AACAGGAUUAGAUACCCUGGUAGUCCACGCUGUAAACGAUGUCGACUUGGAGGUUGUGCCCUUGAGGCGUGGCUUCCGGAGCUAACGCGUUAAGUCGACCGCCUGGGGAGUACGGCCGCAAGGUUAAAACUCAAAUGAAUUGACGGGGGCCCGCACAAGCGGUGGAGCAUGUGGUUUAAUUCGAUGCAACGCGAAGAACCUUACCUACUCUUGACAUCCAGAGAAUUUGCUAGAGAUAGCUUAGUGCCUUCGGGAACUCUGAGACAGGUGCUGCAUGGCUGUCGUCAGCUCGUGUUGUGGAAUGUUGGGUUAAGUCCCGCAACGAGCGCAACCCUUAUCCUUUGUUGCCAGCGAGUAAUGUCGGGAACUCAAAGGAGACUGCCGGUGAUAAACCGGAGGAAGGUGGGGAUGACGUCAAGUCAUCAUGGCCCUUACGAGUAGGGCUACACACGUGCUACAAUGGCAUAUACAAAGAGAAGCGAACUCGCGAGAGCAAGCGGACCUCAUAAAGUAUGUCGUAGUCCGGAUUGGAGUCUGCAACUCGACUCCAUGAAGUCGGAAUCGCUAGUAAUCGUAGAUCAGAAUGCUACGGUGAAUACGUUCCCGGGCCUUGUACACACCGCCCGUCACACCAUGGGAGUGGGUUGCAAAAGAAGUAGGUAGCUUAACCUUCGGGAGGGCGCUUACCACUUUGUGAUUCAUGACUGGGGUGAAGUCGUAACAAGGUAACC